CGCGGCCGCAGAGUUUGAUCAUGGCUCAGGACGAACGCUGGCGGCGUGCCUAAUACAUGCAAGUCGAGCGGAGCUAGACCUUCGGGUUUAGUCUAGCGGCGGACGGGUGAGUAACACGUAGGUAACCUGCCUAACAGACUGGGAUAACUACCGGAAACGGUAGCUAAGACCGGAUACGUCAAUUUGAGGGCAUCCUCGAAUUGAGAAAAGCGGAGUAAUCUGCUACUGAUAGAUGGACCUGCGGCGCAUUAGCUAGUUGGUGAGGUAGUGGCUCACCAAGGCGACGAUGCGUAGCCGACCUGAGAGGGUGAACGGCCACACUGGGACUGAGACACGGACCAGACUCCUGCGGGAGGCAGCAGUAGGGAAUCUUCGGCAAUGGACGAAAGUCUGACCGAGCAGCGCCGCGUGAGUGAUGAAGGCCUUCGGGUCGUAAAGCCCUGUCGAGGGAGAAGAAACAGUUGCGGUCGAAUAGGCCGCAACCCUGACGGUACCCCUAAAGGAAGCACCGGCUAACUCCGUGCCAGCAGCCGCGGUAAUACAGAGGUCUCAAGCGUUGUUC
rnacentral:rRNA from 1 species